AGUGAACGCUGGCGGUAGGCCUAACACAUGCGAGUCGAACGGCAGCACAGUAAGAGCUUGCUCUUACGGGUGGCGAGUGGCGGACGGGUGAGGAAUACAUCGGAAUCUACUUUUUCGUGGGGGAUAACGUAGGGAAACUUACGCUAAUACCGCAUACGACCUACGGGUGAAAGCAGGGGAUCUUCGGACCUUGCGCGAUUGAAUGAGCCGAUGUCGGAUUAGCUAGUUGGCGGGGUAAAGGCCCACCAAGGCGACGAUCCGUAGCUGGUCUGAGAGGAUGAUCAGCCACACUGGAACUGAGACACGGUCCAGACUCCUACGGGAGGCGGCAGUGGGGAAUAUUGGACAAUGGGCGCAAGCCUGAUCCAGCCAUACCGCGUGGGUGAAGAAGGCCUUCGGGUUGUAAAGCCCUUUUGUUGGGAAAGAAAAGCAGCAGGUUAAUACCCCGCUGUUCUGACGGUACCCAAAGAAUAAGCACCGGCUAACUUCGUG
rnacentral:rRNA from 1 species